CUUAGAGAUGGUUUAGUCUAUUUUACCUGACUUGCCUAAUGUCCCUGCAGCAAGUUUUUAAAAAUACUUUGGUAAGAAUGUUUCUCUGGACUUGAAUCAUUUCUUUAUCAUGGCAAAUAACUUUACUUGCUAAAGUAUUAAAACCUAGCAGUGGAUUUUAAGUGUUAACUAAGCUCCAAGCUUAAUUAAGCUUAUUUUUACUCAAAUAAAUUAUAUAACUAAUGUUUAAAUGUAAUAGAGGUUCUCUAAUAAAAAUUUAUUUUGCAGAUAAGACAGCUAUAAAAAGUGUCAGGCAAACUGUAUGUUUACUAAUGUUGAAUGAACAUUGGAAAUGUACUUUAAACAUGUAUGUAAAAGAAAAUGGGUGCCUGAGAAUACAGUUGACUCUUGAACAACUUGGGGGCUAGGGCCCUGAUCCCCCAAACAGCCAAAAUUUCCCCAUAUAACUUUACAGUUGUCCCUCCAUACCUGUGUUUCCACAUCCUUGGAUUCAGACAACUUCAAAUCAUGUAGUACUACAGUACAUGUUUACUGAAAAAAAGACCUGUAUAAGUGGAUCCACACAGUUCAAACCCAUGUUGUUCAAAGGUCAGUUGUCUUUCUCUUCCUAGUAAGUCACAUUGGCACAGAGGGAAAAAUACUUAGGUUUUGGGGGUAACAUCUGUGUGCUGCCUUAAUAAUAGUAAAUCGAUACCAUGAAACUUUCUUUGAUUUGCAGUAUAAAUCACCGAAAGUGUGUAGUUAUCAGAAUAUUAUGUUUCUUCUUCAAAGACCUAGGAUCUCUCUUCCUUUUGCAAUUUAAAGGAAAAGUAAUAAGUAAUGUUCUCAAGGGAAAAUACUUUUUGAAAUCUAUCAUCAUUUAUUUUAGUGUUUUCAGUGUGGUUGUCCCUAGGUCUGGGGUUGAGAUUGAGUGCAAUAUAUUUGGAGAUUUCUACACAGCAUCACAGUUCACUGCCAUUUACCAAAUUGCUAAGGUUUAAUUCAAUAAAUUAAGUCUUGCAUUGGUGCCAUGUUAAGAUAACUUACUGAAGAAUGGAUAAAUAUAAGUGCAACAUUGAUGAGUAUGCCUUUUUAUCAUGUAAAAAAGAAAUAUUCGUAGUAUUUGCUCAAAGUAGUGAUCUAUUUUUUUUUUUUUAAUUCACCCCAGAGUUUGUUUAAAUAGUUUCCGCACGUAUUUAAAUAGGGUUUGAUUUAUAGUAUACUUUUCUGGGGGCACCUUACUGCAUGAAUCAAAGUAUACAGAAACACAAAUAUUAGUAUAUACAUAAAUGGUACCAUUAACAAAAUUAUUCCUGAUGCAGAUUUAUUCUUUUAUGAAUUGCACUUUAUUUGGAAUAAUUCUAGCUUAUCAUGAAACAGUGACAUACCUACCUCACAGGGUUGUUGUGAGGAUUGAAAUGUUUGUUAACAUCUUGACUACCUUGAACAUGCUAAUAAAAAAAAACAUUUUUUCU
ensembl:lncRNA